AUUGGAGGGUAUCUAGGUAGUUGUAUUGGAGGGUAUCUAGGUAGUUGUAUUGGAGGGUAUCUAGGUAGUUGUAUUGGAGGGUAUCUAGGUAAAGAAAGAGGUAGUUGUAUUGGAGGGUAUCUAGGUAGUUGUAUUGGAGGGUAUCUAGGUAGUUGUAUUGGAGGGUAUCUAGGUAGUUGUAUUGGAGGGUAUCUAGGUAGUUGUAUUGAGGGUAUCUAGGUAGUUGUAUUGGGGGGUAUCUAGGUAGUUGUAUUGGAGGGUAUCUAGGUAGUUGUAUUGGGGGGUAUCUAGGUAGUUGUAUUGGAGGGUAUCUAGGUAGUUGUAUUGGAGGGUAUCUAGGUAGUUGUAUUGGAGGGUAUCUAGGUAGUUGUAUUGGGGGGUAUCUAGGUAGUUGUAUUGGGGGGUAUCUAGGUAGUUAUAUUGGAGGGUAUCUAGGUAGUUGUAUUGGAGGGUAUCUAGGAAGUUGUAUUGGAGGGUAUCUAGGUAGUUGUAUUGGAGGGUAUCUAGGUAGUUGUAUUGGAGGGUAUCUAGGUAGUUGUAUUGGAGGGUAUCUAGGUAGUUGUAUUGGAGGGUAUCUAGGUAGUUGUAUUGGGGGGUAUCUAGGUAGUUGUAUUGGGGGGUAUCUAGGUAGUUGUAUUGGAGGGUAUCUAGGUAGAGAAAGAGGUAGUUGUAUUGGAGGGUAUCUAGGUAGUUGUAUUGGAGGGUAUCUAGGUAGUUGUAUUGGAGGGUAUCUAGGUAGUUGUAUUGAGGGUAUCUAGGUAGUUGUAUUGGAGGGUAUCUAGGUAGUUGUAUUGGAGGGUAUCUAGGUAGUUGUAUUGGGGGGUAUCUAGGUAGUUGUAUUGGAGGGUAUCUAGGUAGAGAAAGAGGUAGUUGUAUUGGGGGGUAUCUAGGUAGUUGUAUUGGAGGGUAUCUAGGUAGUUGUAUUGGAGGGUAUCUAGGUAGUUGUAUUGGAGGGUAUCUAGGUAGUUGUAUUGGAGGGUAUCUAGGUAGUUGUAUUGGAGGGUAUCUAGGUAGUUGUAUUGGAGGGUAUCUAGGUAGUUGUAUUGAGGGUAUCUAGGUAGUUGUAUUGGAGGGUAUCUAGGUAGUUGUAUUGGAGGGUAUCUAGGUAGUUGUAUUGGAGGGUAUCUAGGUAGUUGUAUUGGGGGGUAUCUAGGUAGUUGUAUUGGAGGGUAUCUAGGUAGUUGUAUUGGAGGGUAUCUAGGUAGUUGUAUUGGGGGUAUCUAGGUAGUUGUAUUGGGGGGUAUCUAGGUAGUUGUAUUGGAGGGUAUAUAGGUAGUUGUAUUGGAGGGUAUCUAGGUAGUUGUAUUGGAGGGUAUCUAGGUAGUUGUAUUGGAGGGUAUCUAGGUAGUUGUAUUGGAGGGUAUCUAGGUAGUUGUAUUGGGGGGUAUCUAGGUAGUUGUAUUGGGGGGUAUCUAGGUAGUUGUAUUGGAGGGUAUCUAGGUAGAGAAAGAGGUAGUUGUAUUGGAGGGUAUCUAGGUAGUUGUAUUGGAGGGUAUCUAGGUAGUUGUAUUGGAGGGUAUCUAGGUAGUUGUAUUGAGGGUAUCUAGGUAGUUGUAUUGGAGGGUAUCUAGGUAGUUGUAUUGGAGGGUAUCUAGGUAGUUGUAUUGGGGGGUAUCUAGGUAGUUGUAUUGGAGGGUAUCUAGGUAGAGAAAGAGGUAGUUGUAUUGGGGGGUAUCUAGGUAGUUGUAUUGGAGGGUAUCUAGGUAGUUGUAUUGGAGGGUAUCUAGGUAGUUGUAUUGGAGGGUAUCUAGGUAGUUGUAUUGGAGGGUAUCUAGGUAGUUGUAUUGGAGGGUAUCUAGGUAGUUGUAUUGGAGGGUAUCUAGGUAGUUGUAUUGAGGGUAUCUAGGUAGUUGUAUUGGAGGGUAUCUAGGUAGUUGUAUUGGAGGGUAUCUAGGUAGUUGUAUUGGAGGGUAUCUAGGUAGUUGUAUUGGGGGGUAUCUAGGUAGUUGUAUUGAAGGGUAUCUAGGUAGUUGUAUUGGAGGGUAUCUAGGUAGUUGUAUUGGAGGGUAUCUAGGUAGUUGUAUUGGAGGGUAUCUAGGUAGUUGUAUUGGAGGGUAUCUAGGUAGUUGUAUUGGAGGGUAUCUAGGUAGUUGUAUUGGGGGGUAUCUAGGUAGUUGUUUUGGAGGGUAUCUAGGUAGUUGUAUUGGAGGGUAUCUAGGUAGUUGUAUUGGGGGGUAUCUAGGUAAUUGUAUU